rnacentral:rRNA from 1 species
GAAUCUUCCGCAAUGGACGAAAGUCUGUCGGAGCAACGCCGCGUGAGUGAUGAAGGAUUUCGGUCUGUAAAGCUCUGUUGUUUAUGACGAACGUGCAGUGUGUGAACAAUGCAUUGCAAUGACGGUAGUAAACGAGGAAGCCACGGCUAACUACGUGCCAGCAGCCGCGGUAAUACGUAGGUGGCGAGCGUUGUCCGGAAUUAUUGGGCGUAAAGAGCAUGUAGGCGGCUUAAUAAGUCGAGCGUGAAAAUGCAGGGCUCAACCCCGUAUGGCGCUGGAAACUGUUAGGCUUGAGUGCAGGAGAGGAAAGGGGAAUUCCCAGUGUAGCGGUGAAAUGCGUAGAUAUUGGGAGGAACACCAGUGGCGAAGGCGCCUUUCUGGACUGUGUCUGACGCUGAGAUGCGAAAGCCAGGGUAGC